UACGUAGGGUGCGAGCGUUGUCCGGAAUUACUGGGCGUAAAGGGCUCGUAGGCGGCCAACUAAGUCAGACGUGAAAUCCCUCGGCUUAACCGGGGAACUGCAUCUGAUACUGGAUGGCUUGAGUUCGGGAGAGGGAUGCGGAAUUCCAGGUGUAGCGGUGAAAUGCGUAGAUAUCUGGAGGAACACCGGUGGCGAAGGCGGCAUCCUGGACCGACACUGACGCUGAGGAGCGAAAGCGUGGGGAGCGAACAGG
rnacentral:rRNA from 1 species